AGGACGAACGCUGGCGGCGUGCCUAACACAUGCAAGUCGAACGAGGUCCAUCCGGUGGCAACACUGGUGAAGACCUAGUGGCGAACGGGUGAGUAACACGUGAGCAACCUGCCCCGAAGACCGGGAUAACCCCGGGAAGCCGGAGCUAAUACCGGAUACCCCCACCGGAUCGCAUGGUCUGGCGAGGAAAUGGAUUCCGCUUCGGGAGGGGCUCGCGGCCUAUCAGCUUGUUGGUGGGGUAACGGCCUACCAAGGCGACGAUGGGUAGCUGGUCUGAGAGGACGAUCAGCCACACUGGGACUGAGACACGGCCCAGACUCCUACGGGAGGCAGCAGUGGGGAAUCUUGCGCAAUGGGCGAAAGCCUGACGCAGCAACGCCGCGUGAGGGACGAAGGCCUUCUGGGUUGUAAACCUCUUUCAGCAGGGACGAUUGUGACGGUACCUGCAGAAGAAGCCCCGGCCAACUACGUGCCAGCAGCCGCGGUAAUACGUAGGGGGCGAGCGUUGUCCGGAUUCAUUGGGCGUAAAGAGCUCGUAGGCGGCUUGGCAAGUCGGGUGUGAAACCUCCAGGCUCAACCUGGAGUCGCCGCCCGAUACUGCCAUGGCUAGAGUCCGGUAGGGGCCCACGGAAUUCCUGGUGUAGCGGUGAAAUGCGCAGAUAUCAGGAGGAACACCGGUGGCGAAGGCGGUGGGCUGGGCCGGUACUGACGCUGAGGAGCGAAAGCGUGGGGAGCGAACAGGAUUAGAUACCCUGGUAGUCCACGCCAUAAACGAUGAGAACUAGACGUUGGGGAGGGUAAGCCUCCCGUGUUGCAGCUAACGCGCUAAGUUCUCCGCCUGGGGAGUACGGCCGCAAGGUUGAA
rnacentral:rRNA from 1 species